rnacentral:rRNA from 1 species
UACAGAGGGGGCAAGCGUUGUUCGGAAUUACUGGGCGUAAAGGGCGCGUAGGCGGCCUUCUAAGUCAGACGUGAAAUCCCUCGGCUCAACCGGGGAACUGCGUCUGAGACUGGAAGGCUUGAAUCCGGGAGAGGGAUGUGGAAUUCCAGGUGUAGCGGUGAAAUGCGUAGAUAUCUGGAGGAACACCGGGUGGCGAAGGCGGCAUCCUGGACCGGCAUUGACGCUGAGGCGCGAAAGCUAGGGGAGCGAACAGG